AAUUAUUUCACCCCUCGCAAUGUUGGUAUAAAACCGGAGCUUGCCUCUGAGAAGCUCUAGUUGGGAUCUGUACAGCAGAGAACAAACAUAUCAACAUGGAUUCACAGGAUUGCAAUUGUGGCGCGAAGACUGGAGGAGAAUGCAAAUGUGCAGAUUGUAAAUGCACAAACUGUGCAUGCAAAAACUGUCCCAAGAAGAGCUAAAUUCAGCACACCAGCUGUACAAUGCACAUAUCUCAUCAACUUCAUCUCUGAUGCAGCCUAAUAUGUGUACUGCCGAACUUAUCUCAUGUACAAAAAUUCCUCCUGGAUUGUACAAAUAAAUUUGCAUGUACGUUGCACGUACAAAUAUUGGCAGACAUAUUUAAAAAUAUUUUGAUUAGAUUAAAUAAAAUUUUCGAAAAUUUCCA